rnacentral:rRNA from 1 species
UAGGGAGUGGCGCACGGGUGAGUAACGCGUGGGAAUGUACCUUUUAGUGGGGGAUAACUCCGGGAAACUGGAGCUAAUACCGCAUACGCCCUUCGAUGGGGGACAACAGCCCGAAAGGGUUGCUAAUACCGCAUACGCCCUUCGGGGGAAAGAUUUAUCGCUAAAAGAUCAGCCCGCGUGAGAUUAGGUAGUUGGUGGGGUAAUGGCCUACCAGGCCUACGAUCUCUAGCUGGUCUGAGAGGAUGAUCAGCCACACUGGAACUGAGACACGGUCCAGACUCCUACGGGAGGCAGCAGUGGGGAAUAUUGGACAAUGGGCGAAAGCCUGAUCCAGCCAUGCCGCGUGAGUGAUGAAGGCUUUAGGGUUGUAAAGCUCUUUCGCCGAUGAAGAUAAUGACGGUAGUCGGAGAAGAAGCCCCGGCUAACUUCGUGCCAGCAGCCGCGGUAAUACGAAGGGGGCUAGCGUUGUUCGGAAUUACUGGGCGUAAAGCGAGCGUAGGUUGCUCGACAAGUCAGUGGUGAAAGCCCAGAGCUCAACUCUGGAACUGCCAUUGAAACUGUCGAGCUGGAAUCUUAGAGGGGGUAGCGGAAUUCCAAAUGUAGGGGUGAAAUCCGUAGAUAUUUGGAGGAACACCGGUGGCGAAGGCGGCUACCUGGAUGAGUAUUGACACUGAGGCUCGAAAGCGUGGGGAUCAAACAGGAUUAGAUACCCUGGUAGUCCACGCUGUAAACGAUGGAUGCUAGUUGUUGGGGGGUUCCCUCUCAGUGACGAAGCUAACGCAUUAAGCAUCCCGCCUGGGGAGUACGGCCGCAAGGUUAAAACUCAAAGAAAUUGACGGGGACCCGCACAAGCGGCGGAGCAUGCGGAUUAAUUCGAUGCAACGCGAAGAACCUUACCUAGGUUUGACAUAUGCGAGAACUCUCUAGAGAUAGAGAACUCUUUGGACACUCGUAUACAGGUGGUGCAUGGCUGUCGUCAGCUCGUGUCGUGAGAUGUUGGGUUAAGUCCCGCAACGAGCGCAACCCUCGUCUUAUGUUGCCAGCACGUAAUGGUGGACUCAUAAGAGACUGCCGGGGUCAACUCGGAGGAAGGUGGGGAUGACGUCAAGUCAUCAUGCCCCUUAUGUCUAGGGCUUCACGCAUGCUACAAUGGCCGGUACAAAGGGCUGCGAAAUCGCAAGAUGGAGCGAAUCCCAAAAAGCCGGUCUCAGUUCGGAUUGGGGUCUGCAACUCGACCCCAUGAAGUCGGAGUCGCUAGUAAUCGCAGAUCAGCAACGCUGCGGUGAAUACGUUCCCGGGCCUUGUACACACCGCCCGUCACGUCACGAAAGUCGGCAACACCCGAAGCCGGUGGCCCAACCCUUGUGGAGGGAGCCGUCGAAGGUGGGGCUGGCGAUUGGGACGAAGUCGUAACAAGGUA